GACGAACGCUGGCGGCGUGCUUAACACAUGCAAGUCGAACGGAAAGGCCCUGCUUUUGUGGGGUGCUCGAGUGGCGAACGGGUGAGUAACACGUGAGUAACCUGCCCUUGACUUUGGGAUAACUUCAGGAAACUGGGGCUAAUACCGGAUAGGAGCUCCUGCUGCAUGGUGGGGGUUGGAAAGUUUCGGCGGUUGGGGAUGGACUCGCGGCUUAUCAGCUUGAUGGUGGGGUAGUGGCUUACCAAGGCUUUGACGGGUAGCCGGCCUGAGAGGGUGACCGGCCACAUUGGGACUGAGAUACGGCCCAGACUCCUACGGGAGGCAGCAGUGGGGAAUAUUGCACAAUGGGCGGAAGCCUGAUGCAGCAACGCCGCGUGCGGGAUGACGGCCUUCGGGUUGUAAACCGCUUUCACCUGUGACGAAGCGUGAGUGACGGUAAUGGGUAAAGAAGCACCGGCUAACUACGUG
rnacentral:rRNA from 1 species